ACUUAAAUAGUUUAAUUAAAAUUCUAAUUUGUGGAGUUAGGGAUAUAAUAGUAUUAUUUUAGGUA
rnacentral:tRNA from 1 species